rnacentral:rRNA from 1 species
AUUGAACGCUGGCGGCAUGCCUUACACAUGCGAGUCGAACGGUAACGCGGGGCAACCUGGCGACGAGUGGCGAACGGGUGAGUAAUGCAUCGGAACGUGCCUGGUAGUGGGGGAUAACUGCUCGAAAGAGCAGCUAAUACCGCAUACGACCUGAGGGUGAAAGGGGGGGAUCGCAAGACCUCUCGCUAUCAGAGCGGCCGAUGUCGGAUUAGCUAGUUGGUGGGGUAAAGGCCCACCAAGGCGACGAUCCGUAGCUGGUCUGAGGGGACGACCAGCCACACUGGGACUGAGACACGGCCCAGACUCCUACGGGAGGCAGCAGUGGGGAAUUUUGGACAAUGGACGCAAGUCUGAUCCAGCCAUGCCGCGUGCGGGAAGAAGGCCUUCGGGUUGUAAACCGCUUUUGUCAGGGAAGAAAUCUUCUGGGUUAAUACCUCGGGAGGAUGACGGUACCUGAAGAAUAAGCGCCGGCUAACUACGUGCCAGCCGCCGCGGUAAGAC